CCUACGGGAGGCAGCAGUGGGGAAUAUUGGACAAUGGGGGCAACCCUGAUCCAGCCAUGCCGCGUGUGUGAAGAAGGCCCUCGGGUUGUAAAGCACUUUCAGUGAGGAAGAACGCCUGGUGGUUAAUACCCAUCAGGAAAGACAUCACUCACAGAAGAAGCACCGGCUAACUCCGUGCCAGCAGCCGCGGUAAUACGGAGGGUGCGAGCGUUAAUCGGAAUUACUGGGCGUAAAGCGCGCGUAGGUGGCUUGAUAAGCCGGUUGUGAAAGCCCCGGGCUCAACCUGGGAACGGCAUCCGGAACUGUCAAGCUAGAGUGCAGGAGAGGAAGGUAGAAUUCCCGGUGUAGCGGUGAAAUGCGUAGAGAUCUGGAGGAAUACCAGUGGCGAAGGCGGCCUUCUGGACUGACACUGACACUGAGGUGCGAAAGCGUGGGUAGCAAACAGGAUUAGAUACCCUGGUAGUC
rnacentral:rRNA from 1 species